GACGAACGCUGGCGGCGUGCUUAACACAUGCAAGUCGAACGGAAAGGCCCUGCUUUUGUGGGGUGCUCGAGUGGCGAACGGGUGAGUAACACGUGAGUAACCUGCCCUUUACUUUGGGAUAACUUCAGGAAACGGGGGCUAAUACCGGAUAUGAGCUCCUGCUGCCUGGUGGGGGGGGGAAAGGUUCGGCGGUGGGGGAUGGACUCGCGGCUUAUCAGCUGGUUGGUGGGGUAGUGGCUUACCAAGGCUUUGACGGGUAGCCGGCCUGAGAGGGUGACCGGCCACAUUGGGACUGAGAUACGGCCCAGACUCCUACGGGAGGCAGCAGUGGGGAAUAUUGCACCAUGGGCGGAAGCCUGAUGCAGCAACGCCGCGUGCGGGAUGACGGCCUUCGGGUUGUAACCCGCUUUCGCCUGUGACGAAGCGUGAGUGACGGUAAUGGGUAAAGAAGCACCGGCUAACUACGUG
rnacentral:rRNA from 1 species